CGGUAGAAAUUUCAUUCAUUUUUAUUGUUAAAGAUCGGUCCCUGUACGUUAGAAUAAUCAAACAGUUAUGCAUGGAAUGCUAUGCGUACCUCAUUCUGACAUAUAAAGAUCAAUUUUAACAAUGGAAAUGGAUGAGAUUAGGACCA
rnacentral:pre_miRNA from 1 species